rnacentral:rRNA from 1 species
GCGGACGGGUGAGUAACACGUGGAUAACCUACCUAUAAGACUGGGAUAACUUCGGGAAAACGGAGCUAAUACCGGAUAAUAUAUUGAACCGCAUGGUUCAAUAGUGAAAGACGGUUUUGCUGUCACUUAUAGAUGGAUCCGCGCCGCAUUAGCUAGUUGGUAAGGUAACGGCUUACCAAGGCAACGAUGCGUAGCCGACCUGAGAGGGUGAUCGGCCACACUGGAACUGAGACACGGUCCAG